UACGAAGGGGGCUAGCGUUGUUCGGAAUUACUGGGCGUAAAGCGCGCGCAGGCGGCUAUCCAAGUCAGUGGUGAAAGCCCGGAGCUCAACUCCGGAACUGCCAUUGAAACUGUUUAGCUUGAGGACGAGAGAGGUGAGUGGAAUUCCCAGUGUAGAGGUGAAAUUCGUAGAUAUUGGGAAGAACACCGGUGGCGAAGGCGGCUCGCUGGCUCGUUUCUGACGCUCAGGCGCGAUAGCGUGGGGAUCAAACAGG
rnacentral:rRNA from 1 species